rnacentral:rRNA from 1 species
GACGAACGCUGGCGGCGUGCUUAACACAUGCAAGUCGAACGGAAAGGCCCUGCUUUUGUGGGGUGCUCGAGUGGCGAACGGGUGAGUAACACGUGAGUAACCUGCCCUUGACUUUGGGAUAACUUCAGGAAACUGGGGCUAAUACCGGAUAGGAGCUCCUGCUGCAUGGUGGGGGUUGGAAAGUUUCGGCGGUUGGGGAUGGACUCGCGGCUUAUCAGCUUGUUGGUGGGGUAGUGGCUUACCAAGGCUUUGACGGGUAGCUGGCCUGAGAGGGUGACCGGCCACAUUGGGACUGAGAUACGGCCCAGACUCCUACGGGAGGCAGCAGUGGGGAAUAUUGCACAAUGGGCGGAAGCCUGAUGCAGCAACGCCGCGUGCGGGAUGACGGCCUUCGGGUUGUAAACCGCUUUCGCCUGUGACGAAGCGUGAGUGACGGUAAUGGGUAAAGAAGCACCGGCUAACUACGUG